rnacentral:rRNA from 2 species
UUAAGCGACUAAGCGUACACGGUGGAUGCCCUGGCAGUCAGAGGCGAUGAAGGACGUGCUAAUCUGCGAAAAGCGUCGGUAAGGUGAUAUGAACCGUUACAGCCGGCGAUGUCCGAAUGGGGAAACCCAGUGUGAUUCGUCACACUAUCGUUAACUGAAUACAUAGGUUAACGAGGCGAACCGGGGGAACUGAAACAUCUAAGUACCCCGAGGAAAAGAAAUCAACCGAGAUUCCCCCAGUAGCGGCGAGCGAACGGGGAGCAGCCCAGAGUCUGAAUCAGCUUGUGUGUUAGUGGAACGGUCUGGAAAGUCCGACGGUACAGGGUGAUAGUCCCGUACACCAAAAUGCACAGGUUGUGAACUCGAAGAGUAGGGCGGGACACGUGGUAUCCUGUCUGAAUAUGGGGGGACCAUCCUCCAAGGCUAAAUACUCCUGACUGACCGAUAGUGAACCAGUACCGUGAGGGAAAGGCGAAAAGAACCCCGGCGAGGGGAGUGAAAAAGAACCUGAAACCGUGUACGUACAAGCAGUGGGAGCACCUUCGGGUGUGACUGCGUACCUUUUGUAUAAUGGGUCAGCGACUUAUAUUCUGUAGCAAGGUUAACCGUAUAGGGGAGCCGCAGGGAAACCGAGUCUUAACUGGGCGUUAAGUUGCAGGGUAUAGACCCGAAACCCGGUGAUCUAGCCAUGGGCAGGUUGAAGGUUGGGUAACACUAACUGGAGGACCGAACCGACUAAUGUUGAAAAAUUAGCGGAUGACUUGUGGCUGGGGGUGAAAGGCCAAUCAAACCGGGAGAUAGCUGGUUCUCCCCGAAAGCUAUUUAGGUAGCGCCUCGUGAAUUCAUCUUCGGGGGUAGAGCACUGUUUCGGCUAGGGGGUCAUCCCGACUUACCAACCCGAUGCAAACUACGAAUACCGAAGAAUGUUAUCACGGGAGACACACGGCGGGUGCUAACGUCCGUCGUGAAGAGGGAAACAACCCAGACCGCCAGCUAAGGUCCCAAAGUCAUGGUUAAGUGGGAAACGAUGUGGGAAGGCACAGACAGCCAGGAUGUUGGCUUAGAAGCAGCCAUCAUUUAAAGAAAGCGUAAUAGCUCACUGGUCGAGUCGGCCUGCGCGGAAGAUGUAACGGGGCUAAACCAUGCACCGAAGCUGCGGCAGCGACACUAUGUGUUGUUGGGUAGGGGAGCGUUCUGUAAGCCUGCGAAGGUGACCUGUGAGGGUUGCUGGAGGUAUCAGAAGUGCGAAUGCUGACAUAAGUAACGAUAAAGCGGGUGAAAAGCCCGCUCGCCGGAAGACCAAGGGUUCCUGUCCAACGUUAAUCGGGGCAGGGUGAGUCGACCCCUAAGGCGAGGCCGAAAGGCGUAGUCGAUGGGAAACAGGUUAAUAUUCCUGUACUUGGUGUUACUGCGAAGGGGGGACGGAGAAGGCUAUGUUAGCCGGGCGACGGUUGUCCCGGUUUAAGCAUGUAGGCUGGUUAUCCAGGCAAAUCCGGAUAAUCAAGGCUGAGGUGUGAUGACGAGGUACUACGGUGCUGAAGUAACAAAUGCCCUGCUUCCAGGAAAAGCCUCUAAGCAUCAGGUAACAUCAAAUCGUACCCCAAACCGACACAGGUGGUCAGGUAGAGAAUACCAAGGCGCUUGAGAGAACUCGGGUGAAGGAACUAGGCAAAAUGGUGCCGUAACUUCGGGAGAAGGCACGCUGGUGUGUAGGUGAAGUCCCUGCGGAUGGAGCUGAGAUCAGUCGAAGAUACCAGCUGGCUGCAACUGUUUAUUAAAAACACAGCACUGUGCAAACACGAAAGUGGACGUAUACGGUGUGACGCCUGCCCGGUGCCGGAAGGUUAAUUGAUGGGGUUAUCCGUAAGGAGAAGCUCUUGAUCGAAGCCCCGGUAAACGGCGGCCGUAACUAUAACGGUCCUAAGGUAGCGAAAUUCCUUGUCGGGUAAGUUCCGACCUGCACGAAUGGCGUAAUGAUGGCCAGGCUGUCUCCACCCGAGACUCAGUGAAAUUGAACUCGCUGUGAAGAUGCAGUGUACCCGCGGCAAGACGGAAAGACCCCGUGAACCUUUACUAUAGCUUGACACUGAACAUUGAGCCUUGAUGUGUAGGAUAGGUGGGAGGCUUUGAAGCGUGGACGCCAGUCUGCGUGGAGCCAACCUUGAAAUACCACCCUUUAAUGUUUGAUGUUCUAACGUUGGCCCCUUACCGGGGUUGCGGACAGUGUCUGGUGGGUAGUUUGACUGGGGCGGUCUCCUCCCAAAGCGUAACGGAGGAGCACGAAGGUUAGCUAAUCCUGGUCGGACAUCAGGAGGUUAGUGCAAUGGCAUAAGCUAGCUUGACUGCGAGCGUGACGGCGCGAGCAGGUGCGAAAGCAGGUCAUAGUGAUCCGGUGGUUCUGAAUGGAAGGGCCAUCGCUCAACGGAUAAAAGGUACUCCGGGGAUAACAGGCUGAUACCGCCCAAGAGUUCAUAUCGACGGCGGUGUUUGGCACCUCGAUGUCGGCUCAUCACAUCCUGGGGCUGAAGUAGGUCCCAAGGGUAUGGCUGUUCGCCAUUUAAAGUGGUACGCGAGCUGGGUUUAGAACGUCGUGAGACAGUUCGGUCCCUAUCUGCCGUGGGCGCUGGAGAAUUGAGGGGGGCUGCUCCUAGUACGAGAGGACCGGAGUGGACGCAUCACUGGUGUUCGGGUUGUCAUGCCAAUGGCACUGCCCGGUAGCUAAAUGCGGAAGAGAUAAGUGCUGAAAGCAUCUAAGCACGAAACUUGCCCCGAGAUGAGUUCUCCCUGAGACUUUAAGUCUCCUGAAGGAACGUUGAAGACGACGACGUUGAUAGGCCGGGUGUGUAAGCGCAGCGAUGCGUUGAGCUAACCGGUACUAAUGAACCGUGAGGCUUAACCUU